AGUAAUUGCCUCUGCAUGGAAAGUGACAGCUGGCAUGGGCAGUAUAUGUGGCUCUGGGAAUAACAUAAAAUCAGAAAAAGUUGUUGUGCAACCAAACCUUGCCUUUUAUGAUUGGUUUUACACCUUUCCACAGGUUGUGCCAAAGGUUUACCUGGAUUUUCUAUUGAGCAUUUGUUUCCCAGCCCAAUAUUCAGUAAUAUAAGCGAUCAGUGCACGCAAGAUAUUAGGACUGUGAUCCAUCAUGGAGCAGAGAUCUUUCCAAAACCCCUAUUCUGAUUACAACCAGCAGGCCUCAACAGCCUUCAACUCCACAGGUCAACUGACUUAUGAGUUUGUUCAUUGUCUGAACAAUAAAGUCAAGGAGCUACUACAGGCUAUGGAAAAGGGACUCAAAUCAGCCGACCCUGGAAACUGCACCGUGUACACAGGCUGGGCAGGCAUUGCUCUGUUGUAUUUGCAUUUGUCUGAUGUAUAUGGGGAUUCAUCCCUUCUGCAAAAGGCCCAUGAGUACAUCAGCAAGAGCCUGCGUUGCCUGACAAGACGUCAUGUCACUUUUCUGUGUGGAGAUGCUGGACCUUAUGCAGUCGGAGCAGCUGUGUUUCAGAAGCUUGGGCAUACAAAGGAAGCAGAAGAUUGUGUCAAAAGCCUCCUUCAGCUACAUCCUUCUGUGGUAAGGCCAGACUCUGGACUUCCAGAUGAACUUCUCUAUGGGCGUAUGGGAUACUUGUACUCCCUGCUUUUUGUCAACAAACAGUUUGGAGAGGAGAAGAUCCAUUCUAGCUACAUCCAACAGGUGUGUAGCAUUGUGCUGGAGUCCGGGGAGAAACUGGCAGGGAGAAGGAACCUAAAAUCCCAGAGCCCUUUGAUGUACGAGUGGUACAGAGAGUACUAUGUGGGACCUGCCCAUGGUUUAGCAGGAAUAUACUACUUUCUAUUGCAGCCUGAGUGUAAUGUCAGUUAUGAGAAGCUACAGAACAUUGUCCGGCCCAGUGUGGAAUAUGUCAGCCGUCUCAAGUUCCCAUCUGGCAACUAUCCUCCUUGCAUUGGUGACCGUCGGGACCUGCUUGUACACUGGUGUCAUGGGGCUCCUGGUGUCAUUUACAUGCUUAUUCAGGCCUACAAGCAGUAUCUGGAAGAUGCUCUGUAAUGUGCUGAGGUCGCUUGGCAGUAUGGUUUGCUAAAGAAAGGAUAUGGAUUGUGCCAUGGAGCAGCAGGGAACGCAUACAGCUUCCUAGCACUAUACAACCUGACCAAAGAUGUCAAGUUCCUCCACAGAGCCUGCAAGUUUGCAGAGUGGUGCAUGGAUUAUGGGAUGCAUGGUUGCAGAACUGCAGACACACCUUAUUCACUUUUUGAAGGAAUGGCUGGAACUAUCUAUUUCCUUUCUGAUUUACUGGAGCCCACAAAAGCGAAAUUCCCAUCAUUUGAAAUGUAAAAAUGUUAUUCAGUCGUAUUUCCUUAACUCCAUGCAGUGUCCCCAAACAUUGCCUGGGGUGAGGUGUGCAGGCAGCUGAGUGUGGUAAUGAUGAUUCUCAGUGAUUCUUGAAUUAGUUCAGGAUUUCUGUAUUUAGUGACAGCAACCAGCUUUGUACAUAGCUGUAUAACAAUGCCUUGUGCAUUUAUGUGCUGCCAAGGGAUGUCCAACUUAUGACCCUCCCUGCUUUUUGUGUUUUAUUCCAUUAUCCUGACACCUAAAAUAUACUUCAUGCUGUAGCUCAAGAACAGGACAUGCUUCAGGUAGAAAUGGUGUUUUCUAUACAGAGGGACACAUGCUUUGGAAUUUGUUUGCUGUAUAAAAAAAAUAAUUACAGAUCAAGCGUCUAAGAGCAAAUUGCAGGCAAAGGGUGUGGUCCUUUAGCUAAUAACUGAAGUUGUUCAUGUCAUAACUAGACUGACUGAAAUGCAUAUACAGAUAAUUUUAGGUUUGGAUUUUGUGGCUUCAUUAAGCAGCAUUUACUGAGCUAUGCAGCAGUAUUCUGCCUUUUGAUAAAAGGAUGUUAGUAGGUUUGAAUGCACUACUUUAAUUCCUCUGUAACUCAACAUUUGCUGUUUAGAUGUCAUUCUCAGUCUCAGAAAGAAAAACUGGACAACAGCAUCCCUGAGGCCACACACCCCAACUUGGAUGGCUGUAUUUGAAUUCAAGGCAUUGGUUUAUUACCCAAAAGAGGUAAAGACUGUGGUUUAGCACACCACAACACAUCCCUAAGACUUAGGGGACUUUGUACAUAUUGAAUAAAAAUUGGAAACCGUA